GACGGAGGGUGCAAGCGUUGUUCGGAAUUAUUGGGCGUAAAGCGCACGUAGGCGGCUUUUCAAGUCCCAUGUGAAAGCCCACGGCUUAACCGUGGAAGUGCAUGGGAAACUGGAAAGCUUGAGUACUUAAGAGGAUCGCGGAAUUCCCGGUGUAGAGGUGAAAUUCGUAGAUAUCGGGAGGAACACCAGUGGCGAAGGCGGCGAUCUGGGAAGAUACUGACGCUGAGGUGCGAAAGCGUGGGGAGCAAACAGG
rnacentral:rRNA from 1 species